GCGCCUAACACAUGCAAGUCGAACGAGAAAGGGGAGCAAUCCCUGAGUACAGUGGCGUACGGGUGAGUAACACGUGGGUAAUCUGCCCUUUGGUGGGGAAUAACCCUGGGAAACCGGGGCUAAUACCGCAUAAGUCCGAGAGGAGAAAGCAGCAAUGCGCCGAAGGAGGAGCCCGCGGCCGAUUAGCUAGUUGGUAGGGUAAAGGCCUACCAAGGCAAAGAUCGGUAGCCGGCCUGAGAGGGCACACGGCCACACUGGCACUGAAACACGGGCCAG
rnacentral:rRNA from 1 species